UUUCCCAAUUUUUUUAGUUUCCACGCACAAUAGCAGCCAAAAUUUAUUAGUUUUUCUAUAAUCUUUCACGAUACUAUACCAAACGCCUCCUCUUUUCCCAUCCCUUUCUAUCUUCUGCCAUCUCUUCUUCUCCCAUCUUCUCUCUCUUCGGUCUUCUCCUCUUCUUCACAAUUCAUUUUCAUUUUCCAUGCUCUCUCACUCAAAUCCACUGACAAAUUCCAUGAAUUGCAACUGCUCCAACCUCCAACUCAUUCCACCCUCUUCUUCCGACACCUACAAACUCCUCCUACGGAAAAAAAUAAAAAAAAAGAAAACCAACGAAAAAAAAUCUUAAAAUUCGAAAAUGGCGAAAGAAAUCGAAUCUCUCACAGAAGACGAAAGACGCGCACAUCGCGGAAGCAAAUUCGCCCCUCUUCCCACCCUUCCUCACUCCAAUAAACCCAAACCUAGGUUCUUCUUUCUUCUCUUUUUUUCUUACGGUUUCUCCUUCAAUUUUACAAUUCAGAACUAUCAAAAUCCAUUGGUUUAAAAAUUUUAUUUUGAAUUCAUAGUUUCCUUUCUAGCCCCUUUAAUUUUAGUGGUUCUGAUUUGAAUUUUUUAUUCAUGGGACAUAUUGGCUUAUCCCGGUGGACCUGUUGCGACGAAUAAAGCAGCAACUUUGACUAAGUUUUUGGAGAGGAAGUUGAAGGAUCCUUAGGGAUUGGCGUCUAUUAACCAUGAUCUUCUUGAACUUGUUGUUAAUAAUGCCAAACAAACUGUUUAUAAAAGUAACUAUUUCAUUUCUCUUUGUUUUUUUGUUUGUGUGUUUUUUAUUGUUUGUGAUUUUUUUUUAAUAUGCCAUUUUAUUUCAUUAUUGAUUGAUGUGGUGAUUGGUUUAAGAUUUGUUACUGCAAUUGUUUGUAUGAAAUGAAGUAUGUUUUUUUUUUUUGUUAUUUUAGUUGGAAUUAUGGGUUUGGCUUGGUUUGUCAUAAUUUGAUGCGUAUUUGUAUAUUUGUAUCCUUUACUCUUGGCCCUGUUUUAGUGUUAUCAAAUAUCCGCAACGGCGGUGCUAAGGUGGGUAUACGUGAUGGUUUUUGAACUCGCCGCAAUAGUAAAUAUCAACCGAUAUUGCAGGUUUUUCUGCCGUAAUCUGCUAUAACAGCACCACAUAGCAUUCAAUAUUGCAGGUUUUCCCCCCAUAAUCUGAUAUUCCGUCACACCUUGGGUCUCCCGUACUCAUCUUCAAACUAUUUUCCUCAACUUCUUCGGAAAUCCUCCGUCUUUCAAGUACAAAAGAUAAUUUUUUAUUACUUCUGACGAUGGAACUAUUGCCCUGGACUGGAUUACGUACUCUGACGUUUCUGACAGUGAUGUCCAUGUGGAUGGUGUUACGAAAGACGACGAAUCUACUCCCAUUGUUGUGGUCAUUCCGAGUUUAACAAGUGACUCUUCAUCUGCUAUAAGUUAUUGUUAUAUGAAUCAUGAAUCAUUUCAUAUUCAAAGUAUUAGGAUGCAUCUUUCCAGCGAUUGACUUUAGCUGUCAUCAAUGGUUUCUGUUCUCCCUGUCACUAUUUUCACAGGAAGGUUCAAAACUAUUUAUUUGCAGUGUACUAUUGAGAUUUUAACAAAAUCAAUGUGCUAUUGUGAUAUAGUAAAACUAAAUUUGGUUCUAAACAAGUAGCUAGUCUUAUAUAUAACUCAUUUGGCUAAUUUCUUCAUGUUUUCUUUAAUGUCUUUUGGCAGAUCAAGGGUGGUUCCUUCUUCACUCAGGUUCUCCAUUAUAUGCAAAAUUUUGAUUCUUGGGGCAAUACGGUAAUGACAAAAUGGUCUUAUGCUUUACUAAAAUGGUACUUGAUUUGAAUAUAUUUAGUUAUAGGUAGUAUUAGAGUUAAGUUGAGAAAGAGUUUGAGAAGUUUACUGCUCCCAUAGAUGGAUAUCUUCCACGCGUUAUCUUUGCUAAAUGCAUAGGUAUGACAAUUUUACAAUAUUGCGAUCACGGGUAUCGUUGAGGAACCUGAAUAUGAAAAGCAGAUGAGUAUGAGUUUCAUUUGGUUGGCUUUUUUGAUUUGAAUUCCAUUGUGAAUCUGGACUGAACUGAAUUAGUUUUGGAGGAAGUUUGUGAGGUGUUAAUGCUAGAACUUAGGUUGGUUAGUUAGAGAUUUUUAUUAUAUGGUUUUGGAUAUGUUAAUUGUUAGUUUGUAGCUUGGUUUCAUUUUCACUUAAUGAUGAGGAAACUGUUAGUUGUUUGUUUGGAUGAAAUUUGUUUGUUUGUUUGUUUGGUUUCGUAUAUGUGUGAAUCGUAUUUUGAAAGUGUAUGUAUGACUGUAUGAAAUCUGAUAUUGAAUGUUGGCAUGAUGAUGAUGUUAGUUGUAUGUGGUUGCUUAUGUUAUGGUUGAAUGGCACUAUGGUAGGUCAUGUUGAAAAAUGAUCAUUUGUGCUGGUUUUUGUGGGUUAUGCAAGUUUUGGCAUCUGGCUUUGUGAUGAUCAGUUUAUGUGCACCUUGAUGUUCCUACGUUGAACUGGUAUAACUUUGCAGGUCUGGUCAUGAGAAAUCAAUGAGGUAUCAUGGCAUGUCUUUGGAUGCUCGGCAUUUAUGCGGAUGUUCAUGUAUAUUUUUGUGUGAGGAAUACAUUUCUUUUCUCUUUUAGCCACAUUUUGGCCAUGAAUUAUGUGCUAUAAAAUGAUUAAAGCAGUUGUCUACAGGUUUACAUCUUUGUUUAUUUUAUCUCUUCCCAACCAAUUGUGCCAUGCUAGCAAAAAUCGAAUCUACAGGUCAGUUCAAUUAAUACUCCUGCUAAGAGGGAUGGAAUUUCAAUUGGACUUGAAGACCUAUAUGCAACUGACUUCCUAACUCCUAAAGAAUCAGCCACCAAGUUAAAACAUUUCAAAACAAAAUGAUCUAGUUUUGUUAAACCUUAUUUGAUGUGUUGUUCUAAUUGUGUUAAACCUUUUUUCACGUUGUGUUACACUGAGAAAUUGUUAUUGGUUAAACCUUUUUUAAUUAGUUAGAGCUGAUGUUAGAGAGUUGUUUCUAGAUUUUUCUUUGAUUUGUUGUGUUUGAUAUCAGGCUGGUUUUUUUGUUUCAUAGCAACAUGUGCCCGCGCCUGCUUUGUAUAUAAUUCUAUUCAUAUAAUGUAUCUAAUCUUACAAGA